rnacentral:misc_RNA from 1 species
GAAAUGCGAUAAGUAAUGUGAAUUGCAGAAUUCAGUGAAUCAUCGAAUCUUUGAACGCACAUUGCGCCCAUUAGUAUUCUAGUGGGCAUGCCUGUUCGAGCGUCAUUUCAACCCCUAAGCACAGCUUAUUGUUGGGCGUCUACGUCUGUAGUGCCUCAAAGACAUUGGCGGAGCGGCAGCAGUCCUCUGAGCGUAGUAAUUCUUUAUCUCGCUUCUGUUAGGCGUUGCCCCCCCGGCCGUAAAACCCCCAAUUUUUUCUGGUUGACCUCGGAUCAGGUAGGAAUACCCGCUGAACUUAAGC